GGUCAUGGGGUGGUACAUGUCUAGACUCCCUUAUGGCUCUAAUCUGAUAGUGGUAGAUGUCUAGUCUCCUUUAUGGCUCUAAUCUGAUAGUGGUAGUGGGGUGGUAGAUGUCUAGUCUCCCUUAUGGCUCUAAUCUGAUAGUGGUCGUGGGGUGGUACAUGUCUAGACUCCCUUAUGGCUCUAAUCUGAUAGUGGUAGUGGGGUGGUAGAUGUCUAGUCUACUUUAUGACUCUAAUCUGAUAGUGGUAGUGGGGUGGUAGAUGUCUAUCUCUCUUUAUGGCUCUAAUCUGAUAGUGGU
ensembl:lncRNA